rnacentral:rRNA from 1 species
GACGAACGCUGGCGGCGUGCUUAACACAUGCAAGUCGAACGGCAAGGCCCUGCUUUUGUGGGGUGCUCGAGUGGCGAACGGGUGAGUAACACGUGAGUAACCUGCCCUUGACUUUGGGAUAACUUCAGGAAACUGGGGCUAAUACCGGAUAGGAGCUCCUGCUGCAGGGUGGGGGUGGGAAAGUUUCGGCGGUUGGGGAUGGACGCGCGGCUUAUCAGCUCGUUGGUGGGGUAGUGGCUUACCAAGGCUUGGACGGGUAGCCGGCCUGGGAGGGUGGCCGGCCACAUUGGGACUGAGAUACGGCCCAGACUCCUACGUGAGGCAGCAGUGGGGAGUCUUGCACAGUGGGCGGAAGCCUGAUGCGGCGACGCCGCGUGCGGGAUGACGGCCUUCGGGUUGUAAACCGCUUUCGCCUGUGACGAAGCGUGAGUGACGGUAAUGGGUAAAGAAGCACCGGCUAACUACGUG